rnacentral:rRNA from 1 species
ACCCGCUGAAUUUAAGCAUAUCAAUAAGCGGAGGAAAAGAAACCAACAGGGAUUGCCUUAGUAACGGCGAGUGAAGCGGCAAAAGCUCAAAUUUGAAAUCGGCCCCCAGGUCGAGUUGUAAUUUAUAGAUUGUAUCUUGAGAGCGGAUUAAAGUCUGUUGGAACACAGCGCCUUAGAGGGUGACAGCCCCGUAAAAUCUAUUCUCAUUGUAAGAUACUUUCGAAGAGUCGAGUUGUUUGGGAAUGCAGCUCUAAGUGGGAGGUAAAUUCCUUCUAAAGCUAAAUAUUGACGAGGGACCGAUAGCGAACAAGUACUGUGAAGGAAAGAUGAAAAGCACCUUGAAAAGAGAGUGAAAAAGUACGUGAAAUUGUUAAAAGGGAAGGGUAUUGAAUCAGACUUGGUGCUGUUGUUCAACUGUGUUUUGGCACAGUGUACUCAGCAGUACUAGGCCAAGGUGGGGUGUUUGGGAGUGAAAAAGAAGUUGGAACGUAACUCUUCGGAGUGUUAUAGCCUACUUUCAUAGCUCCUCAGGCGCCUCAGGACUGCGCUUCGGCAAGGACCUUGGCAUAAUGAUUCUAUACCGCCCGUCUUGAAACACGGACCAAGGAG